AUCGAACGCUGGCGGCAUGCUUUACACACGCAAGUCGAACGGUAACAGGUUAAGCUGACGAGUGGCGAACGGGUGAGUAAUGCAUCGGAACGUGCCCGGUCGUGGGGGAUAACACUUCGAAAGAAGUGCUAAUACCGCAUACGAUCUAAGGAUGAAAGCGGGGGACCGUAAGGCCUCGCGCGAUCGGAGCGGCCGAUGUCAGAUUAGGUAGUUGGUGGGGUAGAGGCCUACCAAGCCGACGAUCUGUAGCUGGUCUGAGAGGACGACCAGCCACACUGGGAGUGAGACACGGCCCAGACUCCUACGGGAGGCAGCAGUGGGGAAUUUGGGACAAUGGGCGCAAGCCUGAUCCAGCAAUGCCGCGUGCAGGAAGAAGGCCUUCGGGUUGUAAACUGCUUUUGUACGGAGCGAAAAGGCUCUCUCUAAUACAGGGGGCUGAUGACGGUACCGUAAGAAUAAGCACCGGCUAACUACGUGCCAGCCGCCGCAGUAA
rnacentral:rRNA from 1 species